rnacentral:rRNA from 1 species
GACGAACGCUGGCGGCGUGCUUAACACAUGCAAGUCGAACGGAAAGACCCUGCUUUUGUGGGGUGCUCGAGUGGCGAACGGGUGUGUAACACGUGAGUAACCUGCCCUUGACUUUGGGAUAACUUCAGGAAACUGGGGCUAAUACCGGAUAGGAGCUCCUGCUGCAUAGGGGGGGUUGGAGAGUUUCGGCGGUUGGGGAUGGACUCGCGGCUUAUCAGCUUGUUGGUGGGGUAGUGGCUUACCAAGGCUUUGACGGGUAGCCGGCCUGAGAGGGUGAACGGCCACAUGGGGACUGAGAGACGGACCAGACUCCUACGGGAGGCAGCAGUGGGGAAUAUUGCACAAUGGGCGGAAGCCUGAUGCAGCAACGCCGCGUGCGGGAUGACGGCCUUCGGGUUGUAAACCGCUUUCGCCUGUGAUGAAGCGUGAGUGACGGUAAUGGGUAAAGAAGCACCGGCUAACUACGUG